ACUUAUUCCUCUCGGCUCAGAAGAACAGGCAAUUCCAAGUCCAGGAAACAGGCUGGUCAUUAGGAGAAAACAUUCCUCCCACUUGAAGCCCUCUAAGAAAGCAGUGGACUAGCAUGUAAGCCAGUAGCUGCCGUCCCUAACAGCAUCCUGGGCUCCAUGUGAUAGGGAUCUUGGAAAGACCCUGCUUCAGUAAAGGAACCAGGUGAUAAGGAUCAUGGCAAUUCACAGGGGCUCAGCACAGAUUCCAGACCUCAACACACACUCAGCAAACACUCUGUCUGUGCUAACUGCUGGUUUUGGAGUAAUGGGGGAGCCUACUGUACAACAGGAUGCAGCAUCAUAAUUGCAUUGUCCGAGUUCCUGCUGUGGCACAGUAAGUUUAGAAUCCAACUGCACCAGCUAGGGUCACUGUAGAGGCAUGGGUUCAAUCCCUGGCAGGGGGUUAAAGGAUCUGGCACGGCUGCAACUGCAGUGUAGGUUGCAGCUGUGGCUCAGAUUCAGUCCCCACCCUGGGAACUUCCAUAUACUGCAGGUGCGGCCAUUUAUGUUUUUUUAAUUGCACUGUCUGCAAAAGCCCCUCUGAGAAGAGCUCCCUGGCCAUUUAUCCUACUGACACCUCCUCUUGCCAGGAGCUGUGUCUACUCCUCUCUUCUUCUCCUGCAGCACCAGCCUCUUACUCUCAAAUUCCUGCAUACAACCUCAAAUGAGGCUCCAGGACAACCUCCGCUCAACUAAGAACCCACCCUGAUAACCUGGAUGGGCCUCAUCCAAUCAGAUGAAAGGCUUUAAAGUAAAACAGGUUUCCCUGAGGAAGCAACUCCACCUGUGGAUGCAGUGUCUGUUCCUCCCUGAUGGCUCCAGCCUGCCUUCUUCACAGCCUGCCCGACAGAUUGCAGACAAUCUCCACCUGUCCAAGGCCAGGUCAUCAGGGCUCCAGCUAUCACCUGGUUAGCUGCUUGCUUUCCUGAAUCCCCAGCAAACUCAGCUCCUGGUGGCAAGGAUUUGGGCUGGUUUCACUCAGUUCCUACUUCAGAGCCAAGAAACAUGUGAUUUUUCACCAUGUCCAAGGAGAGUAUGUGUCUUCAGAACCAAGUCUUUGGGAUCUUAAGCAAUUGAGAAGAGUUUUGUUCUGCUCUAUGUCCCUAUGGGCCCUGCCAUUUGCACCAUCAUGAUUGUUUUGGAUGAAGCCCACCCCAAGCAUCUUCACUUCCAAAACCAGUUCUUGUCCCUUACCCCAAGCCUUUUUUCAUCCCCAUAAAGGAAUUCUUCUAAGCAUUAAUUUGUCAGAUAAAGCCUGGUCCACCAGAACUCUCCCCAAGGGCAAAGCCCCAAGCUUGGUGUUCUUGCUGGGCAGAGCCCAAAGGGUCCCCUGCCUGUGGAGCUGGCGGGUUCAAAUACCACAGGGCUGCCAAUAUAUCAGCGGCAGAGUGCUGGCAUGGAAAUCAGAAGUACGGAGUUCCCGUCGUGGCGCAGUGGUUAACGAAUCCGACUAGGAACCAUGAGGUUGCGGGUUCGGUC